rnacentral:rRNA from 1 species
UACAGAGGGGGCAAGCGUUGUUCGGAAUUACUGGGCGUAAAGGGCGCGUAGGCGGCCUUCUAAGUCGAACGUGAAAUCCCCGGGCUCAACCCGGGAACUGCGUCCGAUACUGGGAGGCUUGAAUCCGGGAGAGGGAUGCGGAAUUCCAGGUGUAGCGGUGAAAUGCGUAGAUAUCUGGAGGAACACCGGUGGCGAAGGCGGCAUCCUGGACCGGCAUUGACGCUGAGGCGCGAAAGCCAGGGGAGCAAAGCGGG